rnacentral:tRNA from 1 species
UGGUGAUUCCCAACCACCCUUAAUGG